rnacentral:rRNA from 1 species
UACGUAGGGGGCAAGCGUUAUCCGGAUUCACUGGGUUUAAAGGGUGCGUAGGUGGGCAAGUAAGUCAGUGGUGAAAUCUCCGGGCUUAACCCGGAAACUGCCAUUGAUACUAUUUGUCUUGAAUACUGUGGAGGUCAGCGGAAUAUGUCAUGUAGCGGUGAAAUGCUUAGAUAUGACAUAGAACACCAAUUGCGAAGGCAGCUGGCUACACAAAUAUUGACACUGAGGCACGAAAGCGUGGGGAGCAAACAGG